ensembl:lncRNA
CUGGUGGCUCACCGCAGACGGCAGUUGAGGCUCUCUUGCUGAAAACAACACCUACGAAAAUCGUUGAACACUGAGAAUUCCAGCAGCUGACUACCUGGAACCUUUACUCGUACUGACUGGUGUUCCUGGUACUUGAAGCUACUCUGUAUAAUAACACAGGAGAGAGGGACAUGUUGAAGGAACGCCCUCUCCAUUGAUGAUGCAGAAACUCAUGUUGGGUCAAUGCUGAGAAUACAUGAUUGUGUGGAUAAUUCUCUGGCCUUGCAAGAAAUUCCACCCGUGAUGCUCAGUGAUGACUUCCUCAAAUGAAGAGGUGAUGCUACGCUUUGGAAAUGCAAAAUGUUCUGUGGCGCAUCCAGGAGUCUAAACGGAUCAUCAUUCUGCACAUAAUCCAUGGUUUUCAAUUAUCCGUGCCACUGGUUUGCCACGUUAGCAUGAC